rnacentral:rRNA from 1 species
CCUACGGGCGGCAGCAGGCGAGAAAACUUUGCAAUGUGCGAAAGCACGACAAGGUUAAUCCGAGUGGUUUCUGCUAAAGAAACCUUUUGUUAGUCCUAGAAACACUGAUGAAUAAGGGGUGGGCAAGUUCUGGUGUCAGCCGCCGCGGUAAAACCAGCACCUCAAGUGGUCAGGAUGAUUAUUGGGCCUAAAGCAUCCGUAGCCGGCUAUUUAAGUUUUCGGUUAAAUCUGUGCGCUUAACGUACAGGCUGCCGGGAAUACUGCAUAGCUAGGAAGUGGGAGAGGUAGACGAUACUCGGUAGGAAGGGGUAAAAUCCUUUGAUCUAUUGAUGACCACCUGUGGCGAAGGCGGUCUACCAGAACACGUUCGACGGUGAGGGAUGAAAGCUGGGGGAGCAAACUGGAUUAGAUACCCUAGUAGUC